rnacentral:rRNA from 1 species
AAGCGGCAACAGCUCAAAUUUGAAAUCUGGCUUCGGCCCGAGUUGUAAUUUGUAGAGGAUGCUUUUGGUGAGGUGCCUUCUGAGUUCCCUGGAACGGGACGCCAGAGAGGGUGAGAGCCCCGUAUAGUCGGCCACCGAUCCUUUGUAAAGCUCCUUCGACGAGUCGAGUAGUUUGGGAAUGCUGCUCAAAAUGGGAGGUAUAUCUCUUCUAAAGCUAAAUAUAGGCCAGAGACCGAUAGCGCACAAGUAGAGUGAUCGAAAGAUGAAAAGCACUUUGAAAAGAGGGUUAAAUAGCACGUGAAAUUGUUGAAAGGGAAGCGCUUGUGACCAGACUUGUGCCGGGCUGAUCAUCCAGUGUUCUCACUGGUGCACUCGACCCGGCUCAGGCCAGCGUCGGUUUUCGUGGGGGGAUAAAAGCUUCGGGAACGUGGCACCUUCGGGUGUGUUAUAGCCCGUUGCUUAAUACC